rfam:Otolemur garnettii contig132720, whole genome shotgun sequence.
GCCGGGUGUGGUGGCACUUGCCUGUAGUCCCAGCUACUCAGGAGGCUAAGACAGGAAGAUUACUUGAGUCCAGGAGUUCUCGGCUGUAGUGCCCUAUGCCUAUCAGGUGUCCGUACUAAGUUCAGCAUCAAUAUAGUGACCUCCUGGGAGCAGGGGGCCACCAGGUUGCCUAAGGAGGGGCAAACCGGCUCAGGUCAGAAACAGAGCAGGUCGGAGCUCCCAUGCUGAUCAGUAGUGGGAUCAUACCUGUGAAUAGCCACUGCAAACUCUAGCCUGGGCAACAUAGUGAGACCCUGUCUCUU